rnacentral:rRNA from 1 species
UACAGAGGUCCCAAGCGUUGUUCGGAUUCACUGGGCGUAAAGGGCGCGUAGGCGGUUCGCUAAGUUGAAUGUGAAAACUCUGGGCUUAACCCAGAGCCUGCAUCCAAAACUGGCGAACUGGAGUACUGGAGGGGAAAGCGGAAUUCCUGGUGUAGCGGUGAAAUGCGUAGAUAUCAGGAGGAACACCGGUGGCGAAGGCGGCUUUCUGGACAGUAACUGACGCUGAGGCGCGAAAGCCGGGGGAGCAAACAGG